rnacentral:rRNA from 1 species
GACGAACGCUGGCGGCGUGCUUAACACAUGCAAGUCGAACGGAAAGGCCCUGCUUUUGUGGGGUGCUCGAGUGGCGAACGGGUGAGUAACACGUGAGUAAUCUGCCCUUGACUUUGGGAUAACUUCAGGAAACUGGGGCUAAUACCGGAUUGGUGCUCCUGCUGCAUGUUGGGGGUUGGAAAGCUUCGGCGGUUGGGGAUGGACUCUCGGCUUAUCAGCUUGUUGGUGGGGUAGUGGCUUACCAAGGCUGUGACGGGUAGCCGGCCUGAGAGGGUGACCGGCCACAUUGGGAAUGAGAUACCGCCCAGACUCCUACGGGAGGGAGCAGUGGGGAAUAUUGCACAAUGGGCGGAAGCCUGAUGCAGCGACGCCGCGUGCGGGAUAACGGCCUUCGGGUUGUAAACCGCUUUCGCCUGUGACGAAGCGUGAGUGACGGUAAUGGGUAAAGAAGCACCGGCUAACUACGUG